AGGACCUGACUAUUUACCAAAAACAUAGGCUUCAGCUAACCAAGUAUUGAAGAUGACGCCUGCCCAGUGACACUAAGUUCGACGGCCCCGGUACCCUAACUGUGCGAAGGUAGCGCCAUCAAUUGUCUCACAAAUAGAGACUUGUAUGAAUGGCUAAAUGAGGCCCU
rnacentral:ncRNA from 1 species